rnacentral:lncRNA from 1 species
CCUGUCAUAACAUAAAAGUAUUAUCAAAAUUAACACUUAAUAAUCUAAUUUAUCUAGCAAACUUGUUCAUACACUCAAAAUAAUAAUUAGAAUAUUUAAUGUAGUAUCAAAAUAAUAAUGUUGAUACUAAUUGAUGUGGAAAUAUCUAACAAGGAAGUCAAUUUUGUUGAUUAAGGUUGGUUCUAACAAUGAAACAAAAAU